GGAAGGGAUACGUCUCCCGGUGGGGCGGCCGGACUUCAAAUCCGGUAAGGGCUGCAAUGCGGUCCUUCGUGGGUUCGACUCCCACUCUCUUCCGCCA
rnacentral:tRNA from 1 species